CGACUCAGAUCGCAGUCCCCCGGAUGACGGAAUCCGGAAACGAAAAAAAUUCCUCCGGCCAAAAGCGAAGAGCCAGACUGACCUCUCUCACCGGACUUGCUCCGAAGAAGGGGACGAGGAUCCACCCUCUUUACCACCUUCACCUCAACCCCCUUCCACGGACCCUCCCUCGCCCUAUAAGAAGAUCCUCGGUUUUAAGUCUGGCAAAAAAAUCCAAACCGUCAUUUCUACCUUGAGAAAGUUCGCACCGCACAAACUUCGCCAUCAUAAGUCCAAGGGCUAUGCUUCCUCACAAGGGAAGAACGUCCUUCACAACAAGCGUCUCUGCGCCAGCCAUCCCAAUGUGUCGACCAGCGAUUUAGCAGCUGUCGCUCAGAACGGGACGACGGGUACUCGAGACGACUCCGCUGUCUAUGGCGCUAUCCUACCCAGUGGAGUGAUGUCCGACGGAGUCAGCUACAGCGACCCCACAAUCCACAGGAACUCUUCAUCAUCUUCAUCUCCCGCUCGUGCCAUCCGGAACUUAAUAUCCCGAGCUAGCGGGUCGCGACCUCUCGACGCUGAUGAAGACGAUAACAUGCGAGACAGCGGAAUCACUAUGGACGUGCCCGCAGGCGCUUCCAGUGUGGAGGAUGGUCUUAUCAAACAGAAACAUGUUAUCCUGCGUCAGCAUGCAUUUUAUCUCCUCGAAGUUCAUCUCAGAUUUGGGAAGGACCUUCAGGCUAGAGAUGCGUGUGGUACUAGUGACCCAUAUGUUAAGUUCAAAAUUAGUGGAAAACAGUUGUAUAAAAGUCGCACUGUCAAUAGGACAUUGGAACCAUAUUGGGAUGAAUUCUUUACAAUUCCUAUAGAAGAUGUAUUUGAACCUUUGCAUCUUCGGGUAUAUGAUUAUGAUUUUGCAUUCCAAGAUGAUUACAUGGGUACUGCACAAAUUGAUUUAACUCAGUUAGAACUGAAUAGGCCUACAGAUUUAGUUGUUACCCUUACAGAAUCUUUCAAGCCAGAUGUAACAAGUCCAUCAUGGGGUCAAAUAUUCCUUACUCUUACACUCAUCCCAAAAACUCAAGAAGAAAAAGAACAGUUUUUCAAUAAAGGCACACUUUUACGCUUGGGAUUCAAUACUCCUUCUGCAAGCCCUGCUGUAAAGAGACAGAAGACUCAAAUGUGGGAUUCUGUGGUUACAAUAGUGCUUGUUGAAGGGAAAAAUCUAUUAGCCAUGGAUGAAAAUGGAACUAGUGAUCCAUAUGUUAAAUUUAGUUUAGGAAAUGAAAGGUAUAAGUCAAAGGUAAUGUUCAAAACUUUAAAUCCUCAGUGGUUAGAGCAGUUCAAUCUGCACAUGUAUUCUGAUCAACCAAAGGUGCUUGAAAUUUCUGUGUAUGAUAAAGAUUUUCAUGGAAAAGAUGAUUUCAUGGGCAGGUGUACUAUAGAUUUAACUGGUUUUGAUGAAGAACGAACACAUUCUGUUUGGAAAGAUCUUGAAGAUGGUGCUGGGUCAAUUUUCCUCUUAAUUACAAUUUCUGGCACAAUGGGAACUGAAACAAUAUCUGAUCUUGCAUCAUACACAUUUGAUAACAGUACACAAAAAGAUCUGAUUAGGAAAUAUGGAUUAUUUAGUUCUUUUAAAGAUCCAUAUGAUAUUGGUCAUCUAAUUGUUAAAGUUUUCAAAGCUCAAGGCCUAGCAGCUGCUGAUCUGUGUGGAAAAAGUGACCCUUUUUGUGUUGUUGAGUUGGUAAAUGCCAGGUUACAGACUCAUACAGAAUACAAAACUUUAACACCUGAAUGGAAUAAAAUAUUUACGUUCCAGAUCACCGAUAUUCAUUCUGUGCUGGAAGUUACAGUUUAUGAUGAAGACAGAGACAAAAGGUGUGAAUUUUUAGGAAAAGUUGGCAUUCCUCUUCUGAAGAUAAGAAAUGGAGAGAAAAAAUGGUAUGUUUUAAAAGAUAAAAAGCUCAGGACAAGAGUAAAAGGACAAAUACUACUGGAACUCCAUGCAUUUUAUAAUCCUAUUAGAGCUAGCAUUAUUACAUUUACUCCUAAAGAAUCAAAAUAUAUGCAGCAAGAACAAAGAUUUAAAAGAUCUAUAUUUGUGAAGAAUGUUAAUAGGGUAAAGCUUAUGCUUUUUGGAAUUGUAGAAGUGAUUAGAUUUCUCAAUAGCUGUUUUUUAUGGGAAUCAACUUUGCGCAGCAUUACUUCUUUUAUAGUAUUCCUUGUGAUAACAUAUACAUUUGAGUUUUAUAUGUUGCCAAUCGCCUUGUUAAUAUUGUAUGUAAAGAAUUAUGUUAUAUAUGCACUUACUGGAAGACUGGUGGUAACUAAGGAUGAGGAUGAGAUAGAAGAAAUAGAAGAUGAUGAUGAUGAUGAUGACAAAGAAGACAAAGGUGAGGAAAAAAAGUCUCUGAAAGAAAAGCUACAAGCUGUCCAAGAUGCCACAGCAAUGAUUCAAAAUAUUUUAGGUGAAGUAGCUUCUUUUGGGGAAAGAUGCAAAAACACAUUCAAUUACACAGUGCCAUUCCUUUCCUGGCUGGCCUUCCUUGUCCUUGUGGUAGCAACAAUUGUGUUAUAUUUCAUUCCAGUCCGUUAUUUGAUAAUGGCUUGGGGUAUUAACAAGUUUACAAAGAAAUUAAGAAAUCCACAUGCAGUGCCUAAUAAUGAAAUUCUUGACUUCAUAUCAAGAGUACCAGAUGACGAAGAAAAGGUGGACCACAUGUGAGUUCAAGAGCAAGAUCUGAAUACAAGAAUAACAGAAUUAGCAGGACUUGGAGAAUUGAAAAGAUUAUAAUGUUCAUAUAUUAUAAUGUUCAGCUAUCUAAUAUUUACCAUAUCAAGAUGAUUGGCCGUCAUAAAAAUGGUCAUGUAUCGAGAGCUGAAGCCGAUGUUUGUAGAUCUUACAGACAGCGAUAAGAAAAGAAAGAAAAAAAGGAAUUGAAUCUCUUGGCCUGAAUAUUAUUCUUACAAUGUGAAAGGAAUAUUUUGCGCCUCUUCUAAAUUAUAGAAUUGCCAAAGGAAUUUAUUCAUCUUUCUCUGUGGCAUGUAUGCCAACUGUGAUUUAAAAUCAAACGGUACUAGGCGUCAGAAGUUUCUUGCUAUGUUGCCAUUAAUCAAAGUCAUUUGUUGGCACUAGCAUUUCUUGAAUGUUGCUGUUUCAUUUGCUCAUUUGAUGUUCCAUAUCUGGUAUUUUAACUAUGAUAUUCUAGUCACUUGUUGAUAAACUCUUGAUAUCUAGUCAAUCAUGUAGCCUUACAAAGUUGACUGGUUUGAACUAUUUUUGUAUGAUAUAUCAUUCCAAUCAUUAUGAACAUUUUUAGUAGCAUUUUAAUAUUUGAAAGUGCAACGAAAAGUGGCAUAAGCAAGUGAAAAAAAUCUGAAGCUUAUUGUUGGAAGUGCAUUACAUUUAGUUUAUUCGAAAGACAUUUUGUACUGCAAUUUCCUAAGUAUUUUAUUCCAGUUUAGUAUGUAUUUUUUUUAAGUGAACGAGAUUUUUAUUUUAAUAUAAAAAGUUUCUUUGUUUCACUUAACUUUCUAGAGCAGUGCUCUGUAAAUGAGAGUAUAUGUUCCUUGCAUGUGCCACAGGAACUUAAAAAUGAGUACUUACAUUUUCAAAAAAUGUUUAUCUUUGAGGAAUAAAUCCUCAAACUUUUAUCUCAGAUUUCAAAUAUUAGAAUAUAAGAAUUAAACACUUAAAUUUGAGUUUUCCUCUCUUUUCAUGUCCUUCAACUUCCACUACUUAUAAAUUUUUAUUUAAUCUUUUAUUAUCAAUGAAUAUGUAUUGUGUGUUUCCUAUUUCAUUGUCCUUUUUAACUAUUUCUAUCAAUUUUUAAAUAUAUUUUCCUUUAUAUAA